rnacentral:rRNA from 1 species
GAUGAACGCUGGCGGCGUGCCUAAUACAUGCAAGUCGAGCGAAUGGAUUAAGAGCUUGCUCUUAUGAAGUUAGCGGCGGACGGGUGAGUAACACGUGGGUAACCUGCCCAUAAGACUGGGAUAACUCCGGGAAACCGGGGCUAAUACCGGAUAACAUUUUGAACCGCAUGGUUCGAAAUUGAAAGGCGGCUUCGGCUGUCACUUAUGGAUGGACCCGCGUCGCAUUAGCUAGUUGGUGAGGUAACGGCUCACCAAGGCAACGAUGCGUAGCCGACCUGAGAGGGUGAUCGGCCACACUGGGACUGAGACACGGCCCAGACUCCGACGGGAGGCAGCAGUAGGGAAUCUUCCGCAAUGGACGAAAGUCUGACGGAGCAACGCCGCGUGAGUGAUGAAGGCUUUCGGGUCGUAAAAGUCUGUUGUUAGGGAAGAACAAGUGGUAGUGGAAUAAGCUGGCACCUUGACGGUACCUAACCAGAAAGCCACGGCUAACUACGUGCCAGCCGCCGCCGUAA